GAUGAACGCUGACAGAAUGCUUAACACAUGCAAGUCAACUUGAAUUUGGGUUUUUAACUUAGGUUUGGGUGGCGGACGGGUGAGUAACGCGUAAAGAACUUGCCUCACAGCUAGGGACAACAUUUGGAAACGAAUGCUAAUACCUAAUAUUAUGAUAAUAGGGCAUCCUAUAAUUAUGAAAGCUAUAAGCGCUGUGAGAGAGCUUUGCGUCCCAUUAGCUAGUUGGAGAGGUAACGGCUCACCAAGGCGAUGAUGGGUAGCCGGCCUGAGAGGGUGUUCGGCCACAAGGGGACUGAGACACGGCCCUUACUCCUACGGGAGGCAGCAGUGGGGAAUAUUGGACAAUGGACCAAGAGUCUGAUCCAGCAAUUCUGUGUGCACGAUGAAGUUUUUCGGAAUGUAAAGUGCUUUCAGUUGGGAAGAAAGAAAUGACGGUACCAACAGAAGAAGUGACGGCUAAAUACGUG
rnacentral:rRNA from 1 species